AAGGCACAGCUAGUGGAGAGGAGCUUUUGCACAUUCUCUCAGGCAGUAGGGAACCUUAGACCCUCAGCUUCACCUUGCAGACCAGCACCUACUGCAACUGUUCAACAGAACAAGAGGCCCAUACCGAUGAUCUAAGCUCCCCCUCAAGCUCCAAUGGCAGGACGCGAUAAGAUCUGUCAGCAUUGUGACAGGGAUCAUGGGGACUGACCCUAC
rnacentral:lncRNA from 1 species